AGCUUGUCAAUUGCAUAAAAACUUAAAAAAUUGCAUAAUGUUAUUGUUUGUAUGUUAUUUCUUCUAAAAUACAAGAUUGUAAACACAUGGAUAUUAAAUUAUAAAAUAUGAAAUAAUGUCAAGAUCAAGAAAUUUUUUAAGAAAAAAAAUUACUCAUAGAGAAAAUAUAUCCAUAAUUAUUUCCUUAUUUGUCAUUUGAUAACUCUAUAUUUAAACAAUGAGCCUAGGUACUGAAAGCGAAAAAAGAAAGCCCAUUAAGGCUUUUGCUAUAAUGCGCCGCGUCCUUAAAAAAAAGAAAACCUUUAUAUUAAAAACCAACAGCAACGGUCUUCUUGUUUACUUUUAGAGACUCCCAAGGCUCCGAAUCUUUCACAACCAUUCUCUCAGCUCUCCUCUCCCUCCAAAUUGGGUAACGCCUUCUCUCUUCCUGCCACUACGUGAAGAAUACAAAAUCAAUCUUCUGAUACUCAAUUUUCGUAAUUCAAUCGCUCACUAACUCAUUGCAAUCGCAAUCGGAGAAGACAUGUAUCCGUCAAGAGAGGGAGUGGUGGCUACGGACAACAGCCGCAGGGAUCGCAAUCGGGUUAUCCUCAGAAUACUGAUUUGUACAGUAUGACCAAGCCUCACUCCUCCGUUGACAACAGUUAUUCAUUCCAUCGCUCCAUACCUCUGCUGUUGAUGGACAUGUCAGGUUUUAUCCUCGCGAUUGGUUGACAUGGAGAAGGAUUACUUGGCACUAGAUAAAAGACCCCCAAGGCUUUUUGGGCCCUCUGAGUUUUCCAAGGUUGUAGUGAACUGGCCGAAACAAAAGCUUUCACUUUCGAUGCAUACUGCUGCGAGGUGAAUUAUUUCUGCUUUCUCAUUUAUGAUUUAUUUAACCCUGCUCAAGCAGUUUAAAUAGAUCAUAAGUUCUGGAGUUUUUGUUCCCU